rnacentral:lncRNA from 1 species
AGAAUUUUCACUUUUGGUGGCAUGUAGCUCAGUGCAUAAUGAAAGGGAAACUUCCAAAGAAACAAAGGAAGCAUUUUUUUUUUUCUUUCAUUGACAAGAAGAAAGCUGUCCAAAAGUUGCUUUGCCUUUAUUCUUCAUGAAAAGCAACACAAAACAAAACAGAAUCAAAACAAAACAAAAAGCCCAUGGGGAGAUCUUGCAUUUGAUGUCCUGGAGCCAAACCUUAAGCCUCCCAAUCACUCUUCCAGUAAAUGAAAAAAAAAAAAUUCUAAACUCGAUUAAAAACAACAACAAAAAACUCUAAUAAAGCAGUCUGCAUAAUUGGUCUCUACUCAUCAGAUUGAUCACAGCUUAGAGUUAGCGAUGUGUAUUUGAUGUAUGUGGCUUUCUUAAAAACGAGGAAAUCCUGUACUGCUAAGAAAUUUUCAGUUGCUGUAGUUCUAAGAAAUCAAAUAGCAUUGCCUAAAUAAAUUUUGCAUUACUUUAGUGAAUACUAAGUUAAAAGAGAAAAAUGCUUUCACAUACAACAGGAACUUUAAAUCUUAUUUACCAUUGAAUUCUCAUAUUCUAAAAUGCGGUCAUUAUUUUAAAGGAACUACUUAGAAGUUUUUGGUCCACAAAUAUAUCUGUAUCAGUGAAUUUUUAUCAAAACAUAUUUAAGCCAUUACUGAGGACCAGUUUGCUAGCUAGAAGGAUCAGCAGUAAUGUAAUGUGAGGAACAAAACUGAAACCUCUUAGAUAGGAGGGAUUGGUGCUUGGUAGCUCUUGACAAUGUUCUUCCUUUGACAAUGGCCAUAGGAAUAAUCAAAGGAGUCAUGUUCUCUCAUUUUCUGGUAAAAUUAAUUGAAUUUUAUCUUUCUUACCUAGUUACAGAGGUUACAAUAUUUUUUUUUUUCAUUUUGAUUUUUAAAGUAGUUUCACUCAAGUUCUGAUGUUUUCAGUUAACAGUGAUACUGAGAGGUGUAUCAAGUGUCAGCACUCUGUUCACACAGAGCUGUAACCAGGAUAAUUACAAAAGUUAGCUAAUAAGCUAACUUUUUACUCAUGUAAAUUACUUUGAAUAGUGAGCCCACUUUGGAAAGAUAAAUCCUAGAGAUCCUUUUAAUCAACAUCAUAUUUCUGAGUGUGAAACCCUUUCAUUGUUUUUUAUUUCAGUUGUGAUUUGCUUACUGAACUGAAGGCUUGAAUAACUUUUCAGUCAUUUCUGUUGAUUUAAUCAAACUUUUGUGGGAAGAGA